AGAGUUUGAUCCUGGCUCAGGAUGAACGCUAGCGACAGGCCUAACACAUGCAAGUCGAGGGGUAACAGAUAAAGAGCUUGCUCUUUUGCUGACGACCGGCGCACGGGUGAGUGACGCGUAUGCAACCUGCCUUAUACAGGAGGAUAACCCAGAGAAAUCUGGCCUAAUACUCCAUAAUACUAUUUUAUUGCAUGAUAUAAUAGUUAAGGAAUUUCGGUAUAAGAUGGGCAUGCGUAUGAUUAGUUAGUUGGUAGGGUAACGGCCUACCAAGACAUCGAUCAUUAGGGGUUCUGAGAGGAAGGUCCCCCACACUGGUACUGAGACACGGACCAGACUCCUACGGGAGGCAGCAGUGAGGAAUAUUGGUCAAUGGGCGAGAGCCUGAACCAGCCAAGUCGCGUGAAGGAUGACUGUCUUAUGGAUUGUAGACUUCUUUUAUAAGGGAAUAANAAGUGGUACGUGUACCAUAUUGUAUGUACCUUAUGAAUAAGCAUCGGCUAACUCCGUGCCAGCAGCCGCGGUAAUACGGAGGAUGCGAGCGUUAUCCGGAUUUAUUGGGUUUAAAGGGUGUCUAGGCGGGGUUUCAAGUCAGUGGUGAAAGUUUGCGGCUCAACCGUAAAAUUGCCAUUGAAACUGUCACUCUUGAGUGUGGUGAAGGUAGGCGGAAUGUGUAGUGUAGCGGUGAAAUGCUUAGAUAUUACACAGAACACCGAUUGCGUAGGCAGCUUACUGUACCAUAACUGACGCUGAAGCACGAAAGCGUGGGCAUCGAACAGGAUUAGAUACCCUGGUAGUCCACGCCGUAAACUAUGAAUACUAACUGUUGGCGAUAUACAGUCAGUGGUAAAGCGAAAGUGUUAAGUAUUCCACCUGGGGAGUACGCCGGCAACGGUGAAACUCAAAGGAAUUGACGGGGGCCCGCACAAGCGGAGGAACAUGUGGUUUAAUUCGAUGAUACGCGAGGAACCUUACCCGGGCUUGAAAUGUAUAUGAUCGAUUCAGAGAUGAAUUUUCUAGCAAUAGCAUAUAUGUAGGUGCUGCAUGGUUGUCGUCAGCUCGUGCCGUGAGGUGUCGGCUUAAGUGCCAUAACGAGCGCAACCCCUAUCGUUAGUUGCCAUCGAGUAAUGUCGGGAACUCUAGCGAGACUGCCACCGUAAGGUGCGAGGAAGGUGGGGAUGACGUCAAAUCAGCACGGCCCUUACGUCCGGGGCUACACACGUGUUACAAUGGUCGGUACAGAGGGUUGCUACUUGGUAACAAGAUGCUAAUCUCUUAAAGCCGAUCUCAGUUCGGAUCGGAGUCUGCAACUCGACUCCGUGAAGCUGGAUUCGCUAGUAAUCGCGCAUCAGCCAUGGCGCGGUGAAUACGUUCCCGGGCCUUGUACACACCGCCCGUCAAGCCACGGAAGCCGGGGGUGCCUAAAGUCUGUUACCGCAAGGGGCGGCCUAGGGCAAAACUGGUAACUGGGGCUAAGUCGUAACAAGGUA
rnacentral:rRNA from 1 species